GGGUUAGUAGGUUGGUCAUGCCUCUGGUAUGUACUGGUCUCACUGAUUCCUCCUUCCUGAUGAGCCGUAAUGCCAUUAAUUUGGUGUUGCGGGGAACCAGGACUUUUACCUUGAAAAAAUUAGAGUGUUUAAAGCAGGCAAAAUGCUUGAAUACAUUAGCAUGGAAUAAUGAAAUAGGACCUCGGUUCUAUUUUGUUGGUUUCUAGGACCGACGUA
rnacentral:rRNA from 1 species